rnacentral:rRNA from 1 species
GACGAACGCUGGCGGCGUGCUUAACACAUGCAAGUCGUACGGUAAGGCCCUUUCGGGGGUACACGAGUGGCGAACGGGUGAGUAACACGUGAGUAACCUGCCCACAACUUUGGGAUAACGCUAGGAAACUGGUGCUAAUACUGGAUAUGUGCUCCUGCUGCAUGGUGGGGGUUGGAAAGCUCCGGCGGUUUUGGAUGGACUCGCGGCCUAUCAGCUUGUUGGUGGGGUAGUGGCCUACCAAGGCGGCGACGGGUAGCCGGCCUGAGAGGGUGACCGGCCACAUUGGGACUGAGAUACGGCCCAGACUCCUACGGGAGGCAGCAGUGGGGAAUAUUGCACAAUGGGCGCAAGCCUGAUGCAGCAACGCCGCGUGCGGGAUGACGGCCUUCGGGUUGUAAACCGCUUUCAGCAGGGACGAAGCUUUUUGUGACGGUACCUGCAGAAGAAGCACCGGCUAACUACGUG